GGAAACCAUGCAUGCAUAUGUUGCUUUUGUGCAUAUAUUUAAGUAUUGUAAAAAAUAAUGCUCAUCUAGUGCCAGUCAUCAUUAAGCUCCUUUCCGACCAAUGUUAAUGAGAAGCUCAAUUUGAACCAGCAAUCUCCACUUCUUAACAUCUUGAUUAUAAUAAACCAACUUAACCAGCUUUUUUGGCUGUAUAUGAUAUCAGCAGAAAGAGGUUAGAAAAGCUAGAAAAUGCACCAUGAGAGCUUAUACAAAAAUUAGUUCUUAUCUAGGGUAAGGGGAGCAUAAGAAGAAGCACAACAAAUGUAAAUUUUCAUUGAAGAUUCCUAGAAAUAGAAGCAAAAGGGACAAGUGAAUCCUAUGAGUUAUUCCACAGGCUAACUUGAACAUGAAGCAAAGUGGAUUAAAAAUUUCAUGGUUUACUGUACUUGAGAGCUAGCAGGCUUUACAGGGAGACUAAGGUACCCAAAUUUUGAUAUUAUGCAGGUUUUCAAAAAGAAAGGAAUCCAUGCCAAAAUGCUAAGCAUAUGAAUAAGAAUAAAUGGUUGUGUUGUCUCGAAUUAAGAUACCGCAAAACUAGCAAGAGACAGAAAUCGGAGUUCGAAUAUCAAUAGCAUACCUCAAGCUGU
rnacentral:misc_RNA from 1 species